GUUUUGUCAGAGAGAGAGAGAGAGAAUUCUUUUAUUGAGAGAAUCAAAGUUAUUAUGAAGUGUAUUUUCAGUGUCAAAACAGAAAAUAGAAGGCUCUUUCUCUGUUUUAUGAUAGCUGUAGUGAUAAACUUGAUUUACAGUACAGAGGAUUACCUACCAGGCAUUUUCCCAGCCCAGUUGGAAAUCUGUAUUGAAUUCCAAAGAAUGAGCAAAGGCCACUUGCAAUAGCGAGAUCUUGUUAAUGAAAAGCAUUUUUAUUAACGUCCCUAGAUUUGAAAGAGUAAAUAGUUAAAGGGAAAGGUGUUGUAUUAACUUCUGAAAUCCAGGGUAAAAUCUGCUAGGUAGCCUGAAAAUUAUGGAAGACCAACAUCAUCAUUUAUACGCAAACUUACAUGUGUAUGAAUGCAUUUAAGUAGCUGCUGUGGAAAGAACAUGAGGCUGCAUGCAUGAAUUUGUAUCUGGGUCUCACAUUUCAUGCGAGUUACCUAAUAAAUUAUCAUAAGGAAGAUACCAACGUUGUCUUCUCCUCAUGAGGCCAAAUUUGGCAUCUAUGUUCUGAGAACACCUCUGGAUUAGAUCCUACAGACAAGACUGAAUUUUAAGUGUGCGCGCCUGCGUGUGGCUUCUGAACAUUGACCUAAUUCAGUUAAAAACAAAAACUGUGGCAUGACCUCCCCUUUGGCUUUGGAGUUUUCUGCUUUGUAAAAGCUCAGUGUUCUUGUGACCACCAUGGAAGGAGCCCGGAGCAGCAUCUGGUUCCAAGAAAUAUGAGUUGUUCCCAUGUGUAACAGCAAAAGGUGGUACCAGAAGGUGGAGAGGACAGAAGCUUAAUGGAUCAAGUUGGGAAAGCACGAAGACAUGCGUGAGUGAGAGUGAAAGCUGGAAACCAGAGCAGAAGAACUUGGGGGUUGACCCAGAAUUUUAAAAAGGGGGCACAGGAGCAGCAGCUGGUACUGCUUGGGUGACUGAACCCUUGCUCCCAGCCUCCCCUGCUACCAGGGCAGACAGACCACACUGCAGGAGCAGCAGCUAGGAACUUUUUAAAGUCCCUGAAUCAGGGAGACUGAUGGGGCUUCAAUCCACAUGGAUCCAACCCCAGGCUUCUGCUUUGUGAAAAGGAAAACUAAACAGGUCCCAUCACCUCAGGAUCAAAUAGUCAGAGGUACAUUUCUAAACAGCAAAAUGGAAAAAAAAUAGUAUCCUGGAUUCUCUGAUGGCAGUGACAUCAAAAGUACAGUGUAACCAAUCAUACCUGUGCCAAACUAAAGGAGCUUGGUGAAAAAGCCAGAUGCCAUCUUUCACCAGACUACACUUCAGUCUUAGGUUUAAAGCUAGAUUUCCUGAGGUGAAAGGCAUAAACUUAUUGAGCAAAGCACUGACUGUUAUAGAAUCUUUUCAUUUUCUCUCUAAAGGCUUUUAGCACAAUUGAUUACUGUCUGGCAAGACACAGAUGUUUUAAAUGAGCUUCUGCUGGGGAGAAAAUAAAUUAGGACUCCAGAAUGACUAACAUGUGACAGAUGUAAAAUAAAGGUUUGAAAAUGUACACAGGGCUUGUUGAACAGGCAUGAAAAUUAUAAGGACACUCAAACUUGGACAGGGUUUUAAUACAGGCUGCCAGCAUUUCUAGCUGCUUUUGGUGUCAUUGCUCCUAUGUCAUUCAGGUUAGUAGCUACCACUACUGACCAUACGCCAGUGGGUAGAGCAUAGGGUCAGAAGUCCAGGGCGCCACUUAGAGCAGCUUCUGGUGUCUUGUUUGAGCUGAAUACAUACGGCACAAUUUUGUUCUGUUAUUCUUAUGAAAAACAGAUGCUCAGCCUACACUGAGAACUAUUUCUUAAGACUUAAGCAAAUCAAAUCAGUAUCUUAAGGCCUCACAUAUUUUAUUUCCUGUAUGUGACAAAGAUCCUGAAACUUGGAAUGCCACUUUAGGUUUUUUUUGCUUUUUAAGAAAACUCCAAUAUCUGGAGAGAAAAUUGACUGUAAAUCUUCCUCACAUCCUUUGACUGGGGUAUUCAUUGAGGAGUCAGUUAACUAAAGAACACAUUAGCUGAGAACUAUACAUCCCCCACUAGUAAAAGUAAUUUGAAUUCAAAUCAAAAUAGCAAUAUCUCCCCCUCCAUGUAUGACACAUCACCAACAUGAUAGCAUUAGAGAGGGCAUUUGUGAGAUAUGUAAGAGGUGCUGUUUUUCUCUGGGCAAUAUGUCAUAUCAAGCUUUAUAACUUAGCCAACAAUCCAACAGCAUUGAGUGUAAUAACCUCACUAGCAUGUCUAAGUAUUAUGAAUGUGUCAGGAUGAUGAAUUUACUGUAACAAUAUCACUGGUGGUAGCACAUGCAAUGAACUGUAUCUCAAUCAAUCAUUUUCAAUGCAAUCAUGGAACCCAUACAGACAACUUCAGGGUUUAUAGAUGAAGGGUUGGAGCGCGGGGGGCAAUGGAAGAGUAAGGAGAGGAGCAGAUGAUAAUUGCUGGACUCGUUUGGUUUGGUUGUGAUUGUUUGAAAGGCAGAGUAUCCAUGUUUGCUUUGUUUUGUUAAGGACCUCCAGCAGGGUGCUUUAUCUAGGCCCCUGUUGCUCAAAGAAGGUUGAAAGAAUGUCCAGGGAGGAGCAUGUCUGAGUCUUAAUAAAAUGACUAUUGGAAAGAAGUCUUACAAACUGAAAA